UACGUAGGUGGCAAGCGUUGUCCGGAUUUACUGGGCGUAAAGAGCGCGCAGGCGGUCGUUCAAGUCGCGUGUGAAAGCCCCCGGCUCAACUGGGGAGGGUCACGCGAUACUGAUCGACUCGAAGGCAGGAGAGGGUAGUGGAAUUCCCGGUGUAGUGGUGAAAUGCGUAGAUAUCGGGAGGAACACCAGUGGCGAAGGCGACUACCUGCCUGUUCUUGACGCUGAGGCGCGAAAGCUAGGGGAGCAAACGGGG
rnacentral:rRNA from 1 species